UGGACAAUCCAGAAAAGCACAACAAAGCCCAAUACCCAACCAACCAGAGCCAAAAAAGUAUCCCGGUAAGUAAUAGAAAAAAAGAACCCACAACAGCAGGUAAAGGGACAGACAGUAGAGACCAAUACCGCUAAAAGAGAGAAUAUUGGACUGACAUUCAUCAGGUGAACACAAAAAUGAAUCAUCAUGUUGUUCUGUAACGGCUCAGUCUUGCAUUGCCAGACCUAUCUCCACAGCGCUGCGGAGGAAGGUCUGGCAACGGGAGCAUACACUCCUUGAAAGGGGUAAAAAAAAAUUGCUCUGGGUUGUUUGCAUAUAUGCAACUAUCCUGUAAGUGAACCGUCGUCAAACCAGACUAAUAACAGACUAAUAACGGCUGGAUGUGGAAAUAAGCAACAGUUUGCUAACAAAUUAACAUAUCAAGUGUUCAGGACUCAGUUAUUACAGGUUGGAAUAUUUACUCAGAUUGAUUUUAUUGCUUGUUCCCUUUUUUUAAACUCUGAAGUAAGUACCAAACCACAUAUCUCAUCAGUUGAAUGAGUUGGUUCAGUAUUUGUGUUUUGGAAUCCUACAGUAAAGAACUAAUCUUGACAUUUGACAUCUGUUCUCCAGGACGUGACAGUGACACUGGUAUUGGCUACGCUUACAUUGCUGUGUUUGCUGCAUUACUAGAGAAAUAUGGAACGAUCAGUACGAGUUCAAGACGAACCAGGAGAGGACGCAACAGUCAGCCAAACAAGAAAAGAGAAAAAUAAUAUUCCUAUCAACCUAAGCCCGGACAACAUAUAAAAACACUCCAACAUAACUCUUAGCUACAAGCCAAUAUAAGCUACCAAAUAAGAAAAAGCUUUUAUUACAUCCUUGUCUUUAAUCAGGUGCCUCCAGGAAAACACAGUGGUUGCUAGAAAAACGGUAAAGCAUUAUUUUUCUAUUUAUUUUCUCAAAAAAAGGCAAGCCCGAGUUUGUGUAUUCAUUGUAUCCUGGAUGUACCUGAUAGCAGUGGCUCCUCUGUUGGACUACAUGAUGGUGCUGUUUCCGUACUGUUAUUUUGUUUAAUUACAGCUGCUCUGGGAGAUAAACUGCACUUGAGACUACAUUACUGAGAUCGCACAAACUAGUACGGGUGGGCAAAAGAAUAAGACACUGCAUUAUAUCGCACUAUUUUUUUGUGGCAAUACUGUAUCGGUACACAGACGAAAGUAUUGGUCUUUGCUUGAAUUGUACAUGAGAUUUUAAGUUUUAGGUACUAGAUGAAGGAAAUCAAUUGUGUUUACAGUCCACUACAUGUUUUAUCUUUUUAAAUAACACAGAUGUUGACCAAAUUUUCUUUUGAGGGUGUAAUUUCAAGCUGAAAGAAAAAGGUAAUAAACUGCAAUAUAUCUGAAUAUAUCGUGACAGUAUCGCAUCACGAAGGCCUCUGGUGCUUCCACCCCUACAAACUAAGUUGCAAGGACGAAGGAUGAAAGAAGGGAUUAAUGUGCUGACUCCGUUAAUCCACGGGUUUAUCUGUUAUAGAAGUGAUGCGGUAGGACCAAAUUAUGCACUUAAUGGUUAAAGCAGAAGCGACAGCCAUGUUUCUAUGAAGGAAUUCCAGUACAGAAUGUUUACUAUGAUAUAAAAAUUAUGUGCCUGUUCUCCUGAGCUCUGAAAUCUUUGAUAUGUGAUUGAUUUUGUGAUAUUUUUGCAUAUACCGGGGGAUUUUUCAUAUGUGCUUUUUGAUACUUGAGCUUGUGAUACAUCAGAUCAGAAAAAUGUGAGCUUUGUAAGCUGUGAAA